GGCUGUAUUGAAGUGGGCUGUGUUUGAGGCCGGUGUAAGAACGCUCAUUCUACCCUCAACCCUUGUCUCCAAGGACCUCGGUUUGUGCGUGCAUAUGUGCCGGGUACCCGGUGGGGCGGGUGCCCAGUAAGUGCUUGGACUCGCAGGGGAAGCGCCCACGGGGACGGAUUGGUUGUUUUUUCCUGUAUGAAGCAGUUGGCACCACUGAAGUGACCGAAUGAGAGACUCUACAGGGGCAGGUAAUUCACUGGUCCACAAGCGGUCUCCUUUACGUCGAAACCAAAAGACCCCAACAUCCUUGACCAAGCUGUCUUUACAGGAUGGACAUAAAGCCAAAAAGCCAGCAUGUAAAUUUGAAGAGGGUCAGGAUGUCCUAGCUAGAUGGUCAGAUGGCUUGUUUUAUCUUGGCACUAUCAAAAAGAUAAACAUAUUGAAACAGAGCUGCUUCAUCAUAUUUGAAGACAGUUCUAAAUCCUGGGUUCUCUGGAAGGACAUUCAAACAGGAGCCACAGGAAGUGGGGAAAUGGUCUGUACAAUAUGUCAAGAAGAGUAUUCAGAAGCUCCCAAUGAAAUGGUUAUAUGUGACAAGUGUGGCCAAGGAUAUCAUCAGUUGUGUCACACACCUCAUAUUGAUUCCAGUGUGAUUGAUUCAGAUGAAAAAUGGCUCUGUCGGCAGUGUGUUUUUGCAACAACAACAAAGAGGGGUGGUGCACUUAAGAAAGGACCAAAUGCCAAAGCAUUGCAAGUCAUGAAGCAGACAUUACCCUAUAGUGUGGCAGACCUUGAAUGGGAUGCAGGUCAUAAAACCAAUGUCCAGCAGUGUUACUGCUAUUGUGGAGGCCCUGGAGACUGGUAUUUAAAGAUGCUACAGUGCUGCAAAUGUAAGCAGUGGUUUCAUGAGGCUUGUGUGCAAUGCCUUCAAAAGCCAAUGCUAUUUGGAGACAGAUUUUAUACGUUUAUAUGCUCUGUCUGCAGUUCUGGACCAGAAUACCUCAAACGUCUACCAUUACAGUGCUGGCAGACACACCAAAAUCUGAAAGAUAUGAGCAUGUUCUGGAGGCAUUAAAUGAUUACAAGACCAUGUUUAUGUCUGGGAAAGAAAUAAAGAAGAAGAAGCAUUUGUUUGGGUUGCGAAUUCGUGUUCCUCCUGUGCCACCAAAUGUGGCUUUCAAAGCAGAGAAAGAACCUGAAGGAACAUCUCAUGAAUUUAAAAUUAAAGGCAGAAAGGCAUCCAAACCUAUAUCUGAUUCAAGGGAAGUAAGCAAUGGCAUAGAAAAAAAAGGAAAGAAAAAAUCUGUAGGUCGUCCACCUGGCCCAUAUACAAGAAAAAUGAUUCAAAAAACUGCUGAGCCACUUUUGGAUAAGGAAUCAAUUUCAGAGAAUCCUACUUUGGAUUUACCUUGUUCUAUAGGGAGAACUGAGGGAACUGCACAUUCAUCCAAUACCUCAGAUGUGGAUUUCACGGGUGCUUCCAGUGCAAAAGAAACUACCUCGUCUAGCAUUUCCAGGCAUUAUGGAUUAUCUGACUCCAGAAAAAGAACGCGUACAGGAAGAUCUUGGCCUGCUGCAAUACCACAUUUGCGGAGAAGAAGAGGUCGUCUUCCAAGAAGAGCACUCCAGACUCAGAACUCAGAAAUUGUAAAAGAUGAUGAAGGCAAGGAAGAUUAUCAGUUUGAUGAACUCAACACAGAGAUUCUGAAUAACUUAGCAGAUCAGGAGUUACAACUCAAUCAUCUAAAGAACUCCAUUACCAGUUAUUUUGGUGCUGCAGGUAGAAUAGCAUGUGGCGAAAAAUACCGAGUUUUGGCACGUCGGGUGACACUUGAUGGAAAGGUGCAGUAUCUUGUGGAAUGGGAAGGAGCAACUGCAUCCUGACUGUAGGACUGAACAUUAUGUUCACUGCACUCUGAUUUUCUGUAGGUACAGUUCAAAGCCCU
rnacentral:sRNA from 1 species